rnacentral:rRNA from 1 species
AGUAAAUAGAUACCCAGGUAGUCCACGCCGUAAACGAUGAAUACUAGGUGUGGGGGUUGUCAUGACCUCCGUGCCGCCGCUAAACGCAUUAAGUAUUCCGCCUGGGGAGUACGGUCGCAAGAUUAAAACUCAAAGGAAUUGACGGGGGCCCGCACAAGCAGCGGAGCAUGUGGUUUAAAUUCGAAGCAACGCGAAGAACCUUACCUAGACUUGACAUCUCCUGAAUUACUCUGUAAUGGAGGAAGCCCUUCGGGGCAGGAAGACAGGUGGUGCAUGGUUGUCGUCAGCUCGUGUCGUGAGAUGUUGGGUUAAGUCCCGCAACGAGCGCAACCCUUAUUGUUAGUUGCUACCAUUUAGUUGAGCACUCUAGCGAGACUGCCCGGGUUAACCGGGAGGAAGGUGGGGAUGACGUCAAAUCAUCAUGCCCCUUAUGUCUAGGGCUACACACGUGCUACAAUGGCUGGUACAGAGAGAUGCAAUACCGUGAGUGGAGCCAAACUUCAAAACCAGUCUCAGUUCGGAUUGUAGGCUGAAACUCGCC